rnacentral:rRNA from 1 species
CCUACGGGAGGCAGCAGUGGGGAAUAUUGGGCAAUGGAGGAAACUCUGACCCAGCAACGCCGCGUGAAGGAUGAAGGUUUUCGGAUUGUAAACUUCUGUCGCGAGGGAUGAAGAAUGACGGUACCUGAAUAAGAAGCCCCGGCUAACUACGUGCCAGCAGCCGCGGUAAUACGUAGGGGGCAAGCGUUAUCCGGAAUUACUGGGUGUAAAGGGUGAGUAGGCGGGAUGGUAAGCCAGAUGUGAAAGCCUUGGGCUUAACCCGAGGAUUGCAUUUGGAACUAUCAAGCUAGAGUACAGGAGAGGAAAGCGGAAUUCCUAGUGUAGCGGUGAAAUGCGUAGAUAUUAGGAAGAACACCAGUGGCGAAGGCGGCUUUCUGGACUGAAACUGACGCUGAGGCACGAAAGCGUGGGGAGCGAACAGGAUUAGAUACCCGGGUAGUC